rnacentral:rRNA from 1 species
UACAGAGGUCUCGAGCGUUAAUCGGAAUUACUGGGCUUAAAGGGUGCGUAGGCGGCGCUGUAAGUGCUUUGUGAAAUCCCAUGGCUUAACCAUGGAAUUGCUCGGCAGACUGCAGCGCUUGAGGUCGGUAGGGGUCGCUGGAACUCUAGGUGGAGCGGUGAAAUGCGUAGAUAUCGUAAGGAAGACCAGUGGCGAAGGCGGGUCUCUGGACAGUUCCUGACGCUGAGGCACGAAGGCCAGGGGAGCAAACGGG